rnacentral:rRNA from 1 species
UACGUAGGGCGCAAGCGUUAUCCGGAAUUAUUGGGCGUAAAGAGCUCGUAGGCGGUUUUGUCGCGUCGGGAGUGAAAACACACAGCUUAACUGUGUGCUUGCUUCCGAUACGGGCAGACUAGAGGUAUGCAGGGGAGAACGAAUUCCUGGUGUAGCGGUGAAAUGCGCAGAUAUCGGGAGGAACACCGGUGGCGAAGGCGGGUCUCUGGGCCGUAACUGACGCUGAGGAGCGAAAGCAUGGGGGAGCGAACAGG